CGGAGGGCAGGGCAGGGCCGGCUCCGCCGCGGGCUAGGCGCGCGGCCUCCCGGUCGCCAGCCCGCGUGCCCCCGCCCGGACGUCGCGGGUGGCUCGGAGGCGAAGCCCGGCCGUACCGGGAGACGGUUAAGGGGGUCCCGACCCUCGGGACGAGGGCUGUCCGCGGGUGAGACUCAAACGCUAGCAGCCAGAGAAGAUAACCCCAAAGAAACACCUCUCCCAUCCAGGAGAUGGACUGAACCCAAAUCAGUUAUCCAGAGGAAUGGAUUUCAGGGUGUAAUGACACAGGCCUAUCCAUAGUCCUAUCACUGGGAAAGUUGAGGCAAGAAGAUGAAGACUUCAAGAUCAUUGUCGGCUACAUAACAACAGAAGAGGGUGUUGGAUCUUCCUGUACUGGGGUUAGAGACAUGAAGCCCCAGUUGAUGCUGGGAAUCAAAUCCUUGUCUUCAGGAUGGCCAGUCAGCUUCUUAACAACUGAACCAUCUAGAUCCAGAUCCAGCCAGUCAACUGUAAUGUUGAUUGAUUCUAUGAAUCCGUAUACUGCUCAAGGAGAGCACAAACUGUCUCUUGCCGAAAUUGUGACAUCGACAAUUCUGUCUUCCAAAACCAUCUCCCUUUUUUCUUCUAU